GGAAUACUGGGAUUAUUAUGAGAAAUUAUCGAAAUCCAGAAUAUUCAGGCCGGAAGUUGCCAGCAUCUACUGCAGUGACCUUGAUCCUGUCCAUGAAUGAAGUAGAAUGAGACCCGUAUUUGGGAGCAAUGAAAGGAAACACAAGAUGUUCCCAAUUAUUUCAACUUUCCAUGCUACCUACCUCACUCAUUUGCCUUCAUUUUGAAGUCAUGAGUUGAAGCUGUUUGGAAAAUAUUGUGGAGAGGAAAGAGUGACUUCUAGCUACAAAGAUGGAAAACAUUGCCGGGACCCAGGAGAGAUGUGUAUUAAGCAAAGUUUAACUUCAAGCCCCCAGUCUUUCUCUACUGAACAUUUUCUUGCCUCAAUAACCUCUGGCCCCUCCUUUCAGGCUUCAGCAGUAUUUGUGCUCAUUCUUUGGUCCUCCCUGCCACCCUGACCCCAUUUUUUGUUAUCAAAUUAUAUAUUCUGGUUUACCAAGAAAUUGGAGGGAUUCACAUAGACAAAAGUCUGUUUUACUUAUGAAAGCAGUAUUUUAUUCAAAAUAUCGAACAAAGGUUGAAAAUAAAGGUGUUAUUCCCAGUCUCAUGUCAGAGACUCACCAGUCCCAAACCCAGCUGGACCUGCUCUGGAUUACGGCAACGUCAUUAUCAAGGUUAUGACUGUCUUUGGCGCAAGUCUUCACAGUGGGAUCCGUGAGCUCACGGCAGAAGGUAAGUCUGGAGUUCUCCUACAUAUGAUGCAUAUCUAGGAGAUAUGAAUGGGCUGCAUAGAGCCCCUCUGCAGUUGACUGAAAAUAAAAUGUAAAGUUAAUGCAAUUCCUCACCUUAGACUUCAUUCCUAAGACUAUAUGGAAAGACAUAAGAACUGAUUUUUGGUGUUGCCAUCAGCAGCGGAGGGUGCUGCAUUAGGGGGUUGUGGAAGGAAAAUUCUCAUGCACUUCUCUUACAAGUUCUAG
rnacentral:lncRNA from 1 species